rnacentral:rRNA from 1 species
UACGUAGGGUCCAAGCGUUGUCCGGAAUUAUUGGCGUAAGGCUCGUAGGCGGUUUGUCGCGUCGGGAGUGAAACACCGGGCUUAACUCGGUGCUUGCUUUCGAAUACGGGCAGACUUGAGGCAUGCAGGGGAGAACGGAAGUUCCUGGUGUAGCGGUGAAGUGACGCAGAUAUCAGGAGGAACACCGAUGGCGAAGGCAGGAUCUCUGGGCAUUAACUGACGCUGAGGAGCGAAAGCAUGGGGAGCGAACAGG